GUCAUAAAUAUGAUCAUUUGCUCAAUGCAGUUCAAUUUUCUAUCUAGCUAGCAAACGUCUUUUUUUUUUUUUUUUUUUUUUUUUUUUUUUUUACAAGAAAUGCAGGAUUUAAUGCCUCUGAGAAGAACAGCCACAAUCUAACCAUCUUGUCAAUUCCAUUCCCUGGAACCUCAGGAGUUGAGUCUUCUUGCCAGUUUCACGGAGUCCACAUCGGCCUUCUUUUUCUAUUCCUCAAUCUUCCAUUUCAGACAGUGUUGGUAAUUGGUUUUUAAUCGGUUCAUUUACCUGAAUGCUUUAUACUGCCUCAGAUGACCAAUUCUUUGCUCAAAAUCGUCAGUUCACUUUGAGCAUUAAUAACACACUGAGAAAAUCACUAAACUAACUAGAAACUCUACUAUCAUGUUUCCAAAGAAAAUGGUGUGUUCUGGGUUUCCUUGACUACCUUCUGAAAGUCAUCAAAAGGAAGGAAAGUUGAUGGUGUUUGCAGCCUGGAAACUCAGGCCUUGAGGAGACAGAGGAAAACUGGGUUAAUAAUCACUUGUGUGAAAAAGAAAUAUAUUUAAGUUUAUUUCAUACGGAGGAGGAAAUUCUGGAAAAAAAAAAAAAGAAAAAAGAAAAACCAAAAAGAGAAGAAAAAAAGAAGCACACGUCAAAAGAUAAAAUAGUGCAGCAGAAGGAUUCAUUGCCUAGGUUAGAAGAAUUUUCACUAUGA
ensembl:lincRNA